rnacentral:rRNA from 1 species
UUUCUGUUCGGAAAAAUUGAAAAACAAAAUUUUCAGGGGGGAACCCCUCCCCAGGUUCCGAGUCCACCUGGGGGGCAUUGGGGGGAAAAAUCUUCCCCGGGGUCUGUUGUAUCCUGUUGCUUUUGGGGGAACGCCCCUUGUCUGCCGCCGGGGGGGGGCGUCUGCCCCCCGGGCCCGUGCCCGCCGGAGACCCCAACACGAACACUGUCUGAAAGCGUGCAGUCUGAGUUGAUUGAAUGCAAUCAGUUAAAACUUUCAACAAUGGAUCUCUUGGUUCCGGCAUCGAUGAAGAACGCAGCGAAAUGCGAUAACUAAUGUGAAUUGCAGAAUUCAGUGAAUCAUCGAGUCUUUGAACGCACAUUGCGCCCCCUGGUAUUCCGGGGGGCAUGCCUGUCCGAGCGUCAUUGCUGCCCUCAAGCCCGGCUUGUGUGUUGGGUCGCCGUCCCCCUCUCCGGGGGGACGGGCCCGAAAGGCAGCGGCGGCACCGCGUCCGAUCCUCGAGCGUAUGGGGCUUUGUCACAUGCUCUGUAGGAUUGGCCGGCGCCUGCCGACGUUUUCCAACCAUUCUUCCAGGUGACCUCGGAUCAGGUAGGUCCGUAGCUCCCC